UGGGGAAUAUUGGACAAUGGGCGCAAGCCUGAUCCAGCCAUGCCGCGUGAGUGAUGAAGGCCUUAGGGUUGUAAAGCUCUUUCGCCGGUGAAGAUAAUGACGGUAACCGGAGAAGAAGCCCCGGCUAACUUCGUGCCAGCAGCCGCGGUAAUACGAAGGGGGCUAGCGUUGCUCGGAAUCACUGGGCGUAAAGCGCACGUAGGCGGAUCGUUAAGUCAGGGGUGAAAUCCUGGAGCUCAACUCCAGAACUGCCCUUGAUACUGGCGAUCUCGAGUUCGAGAGAGGUUGGUGGAAACUCCGAGUGUAGAGGUGAAAUUCGUAGAUAUUCGGAAGAACACCAGUGGCGAAGGCGGCCAAACUGGCUCGAUACUGACGCUGAGGUGCGAAAGCGUGGGGAGCAAAACAGGAUUAGAUACCCUGGUAGUCCACGCCGUAAACGAUGGAUGCUAGCCGUUGGGGGGUUUACCUCUCAGUGGCGCAGCUAACGCCUUAAGCAUCCCGCCUGGGGAGUACGGUCGCAAGAUUAAAAACUUAAAGGAAUUGACGGGGUCAUAGCUGUUUCCU
rnacentral:rRNA from 1 species